rnacentral:rRNA from 1 species
UAGGGAAUCUUCCACAAUGGACGAAAGUCUGACGGAGCAACGCCGCGUGAGUGAUGAAGGGUUUCGGCUCGUAAAACUCUGUUGUUGGAGAAGAACGGGUGUCAGAGUAACUGUUGACAUCGUGACGGUAUCCAACCAGAAAGCCACGGCUAACUACGUGCCAGCAGCCGCGGUAAUACGUAGGUGGCAAGCGUUGUCCGGAUUUAUUGGGCGUAAAGCGAGCGCAGGCGGUUUUUUAGGUCUGAUGUGAAAGCCUUCGGCUUAACCGGAGAAGUGCAUCGGAAACCGGGAGACUUGAGUGCAGAAGAGGACAGUGGAACUCCAUGUGUAGCGGUGAAAUGCGUAGAUAUAUGGAAGAACACCAGUGGCGAAGGCGGCUGUCUGGUCUGCAACUGACGCUGAGGCUCGAAAGCAUGGGUAGCGAACAGGAUUAGAUACCCUGGUAGUCCAUGCCGUAAACGAUGAGUGCUAAGUGUUG